ensembl:lncRNA
CGCAGAAUCCUAAGGGGAGGGAGAAGUAGGCUGCAGUCUGCUGAAGCUUGGACCCCCAGAACCUGUUGCCAUGGUCACAGGGGACUUUUGAUGUGAAGCGCGGCGACCCCCCCCUUGCUUGCCUUCAGGAUGACGUCACGGACGUCCGUUUCCCUGACAGGCCACCUGUGGGUUGCUCCCGGCUUUAAAGCAGCUGUUGUCCCCUGGCCCCCGCAGCCGUGUCCACCGCGUCGACACUGGAGCGGACCUUGUCGGAACUACAGACCUGUCUCCCACUCUGGCGGCUGCGGACCGGACAGACAGCCAGGGAGGAGGCAAGUAUUCCCCAAAGAGGCUUCCUCCCCUCCUCAUCCUCCUCCCCGCGCCCUUGCUCUGCAGCUUGAGCGGCAGGGUAGGAGGGGACUUUUUUCCAGAAAGAAGUGGACAGCAAGCAAUCAAUUUUCCUCUCCGGCCAUGGUGACCAAGUCCCUGCCCGGGCCCUUUCCAGGUUCAACAGACCUGUUGCACCCAGAGAAGAGCCCCAAACCGAUCGGCGCGCCAAGAGCCCCCGAGACUCUGCUUGCCAAUAUCCCGAGAGCCCAGCACCGACGGGGAAAUGUGGGGAAGCCCCCAGACGCAAUUGAGGUAAUCAUCUCAGUGUUCAGGGCCCCUCUUCCUACCCACUGAGAUAGCGGCAAAUAACUCACUAACCCGGAGGGCAAUGGAGAGGCGGAAGCCCUGUCUACUGAAAACGAACAUCUAGCGCAGGUGCGUGCUAGUCUCGCCUUUCCAUCCGCCGGGUCCUUGCCUAGCGGUCAGAAUCCCGCGGUCAGGUCUCUGGAGCCCCUCCCCGGCAAAUCCGAGCUUCUAGCUUCAGCACCAGAAGCUGGACAGCGCCCUGCCCGCUGAGCGCGGGACGAUCCCUGGGACGCCGCGCAGAGGAGUGCCUGAGGUGAGACGGGUUUGCAGAAGGAGGGACCCACCUUCUCCAGGGGUCUGGGUGUCGGUUUCUUGGCGGGCGUUCUGUCUCCUCUUAGUACGUCCAGCGGGAAAACUUAGUGCUCAGGUGCCGGCCGGCGCCCGGACAAGACGCGCACGCUCAGCGGGGCUCGUAGGGGGCCAGGAACGCGCAGCGUCUAUUGUGUCCCUGGCCUUGGAGAUCUUUGGAAAAUCGCCACAGCCUCUCUCUCGCCCGCCCCUUCCCGCUCCACAAUCUCCGUAGCCCUACUAAAAGUGAAUGAAGGAAAAAGCGUUGGGGUGGAGAGAGAAGAUAGUGAAGCCGAGGGGAGAAGCACAUUUUUUCUAGGUCCUCACCCUUAGGGGUAAGAAAAAAAAUCUGUCCAAUGAACAUCAAGUUACACGUUUUUUUAUCCAGACACCCAAAGUGCCCUUUGUACGAGCAGCGGAGGAGAUUGUUUUGCCAGGAAGGGGGCAAAAAGCCCCGAAGGGGAGAAUCUACCACAAAAGGGCUAACAGAGGAGGGGAAGAGGAGAGGAGCGGACAAAACUCAGCAAUGCGUGGUUGCUGGGCAACCAGCCGCAGCCCCAGCCUCCUGUUGCCUUGGUUACAGUGAAUGGAGGGGCUUUGGCUACUGAUUACCCAUGAGCACCAUGACUCUUUAAAAUGUGCCUUGGGAGCCCUUGCCUUCCCCAGGCUGGGUGGAAAUCACCACCCUCCCAAGGAAUCCUCCCCCCACUACCUGGGGAAAUCCUGGAAGAGGAAUUUUUCCUUUUAAAUCAAGGCACGGGGCAAUUUCCCCUCAAUCCUUCCCACCCCCACCCCCCAACACUUGCUUUAGAAGUAAUAGUAACCUACCCUGCCAUUUCUUCAAGAUUUACAGUUUUGCCCCCUCAACGCGCACACACUUAUUCCUUUAUACUGGAGGCGCUGAUCUCUCCCCAUUUUCUCUCUUCCCCUUUCCCCCCUCUUUUAAAUGAGAAAAAUAUGUUUGCUCCUCGUGGGAGAACGAGAGGGAGGCAGGACUCUCAUCCAAGGGUAUCUAUCUACUCUGAAGAGAGUCUUAGCAAUCACAGGCCCCAGGACCCCUCGCAGGGGGAGGAGGUGAAUUCUGGGUUGAAUCACCCCACAGACCUCAAGGAAGGGAGAAACACAUCUCCCUCAAGAAGUGGCCGCUGGCUCAAGAUUCUCUUCUCUCCCUUCCUCCCAGCAUCCCCUUCACAACCAGCAAGCACAGUGCAGCCAGCUUCUGGUCCUCUGUUUUCUCUUUGCCCUGAUUGACAAAUAUUGACUCCACUUUCCACCCGUCAGCCCUGCUCCCGUGCGUUCAUUCAGUAUCGUCUGGCUAGAAAGCACUUUACCCGCAGUUUUUUAAAGGCAAGUGAACCGUUCUCAGAGUGAUUUAAGGGGAAACCACCAGCGAGUUACUAGAACAACCUAUGUCCUGUAGAUUAGUUUAUCCAGAAUACUUCUCAUUAAGAGCCAAGAAUUUUCUAUUUCCAAAGAAAACCCUUUUUUUAAAACUGAGGUAUCACUUGGGAGCACAGGGAGAAAAUGUCCGUAUUUUUUAGGCAGUAACCAUCAUAUCUCACCUCCGAUGCCUGCACCAACAAACACAAACAUCUUUCCUUAUAUUAUUUUUCCUUCCUUUGUUGAUAAAAUAUUUUUUUUAAAUCACUAUAAUUUCAAUGUAUGCUUAUGGCCAAAAUGACCUUGGUGGACCAGCUAGAUAUAGUUGGUGAGCAUUUAUGCUAAAAUGCCUCUCAAGUGUUUCUAUAGAAAUUUCUGACAGACCAGACCAGACAGCUGUUCUGGUUUUUGUACUUUUUUCCUCAAAGAAAUGCUUUAUUUUAUUAAUUCUCCUGAGCAGUGAUCACUGAUCACAUCAAUAAUGUCCUAUAGCAAUAGUAGUUAUUUUGUUACAAAAAAAUUAUCUUUCUGCUCAUUUCUUUAUGGACAAAGGAUUUACUUUCCUUUUGAGAAUAUAAGCAAGAUCUUACUGGCCAGGAAAGAACCAUUCUCUCAUUGGUUGGUGUAUAAUGCCUUGUAACCCAGUAAGAGGAUGCCAUUUAUCCUUUUUUGACUAGCUGAGUGAGGCCGGGGUAGCCAGGAUGAUUAAAUCUCCUCAGUGCUACCCAGUAGCAAAAAGGUAGAACUCAGAGUUCUGGGGCCCAGGAUCUGAGACUUACUUUGGCUAAUCCAGAAUGCAUUUGACUGGCAAGGAUGAACUUUUCUACCUUGCUACUUGUAGUUUACUUGAACAAAUUUGCAUAAUACAUUGUUCUAUGGAUUUUUUUUCAUUUUAUGUUAUGUCAUGAUCACCCCAAGUCAGUGUAGGCUAUUGGUAUCAGCACAUUGAGGACCCAGGGUUUUUUUAUGAUUUCCUAGAAGUACAGAAUUGGUUCUCACCAUUAGGGAUAUGGUGAAAACUUUACAGGGUAAGGAUGGAAAGCUAGAAGAGAUGAAUAGUUAUUGCUGAUUUUGGAUUCACUCUGUUAGCUUUGCUAUCCUAUGAUUAUUUGAUUUGUUUGUUUUCCCAACUUCAUUCUUCCUAGCUUUCCUUCUGGCCUGAAUUUUCAGUGAGAAGUAGAAAAGCUGAAUGGAUGGAGAUGGUGACCCUCUAAGUCAGAGUGAGGGCAGACCUAUUGCUACCAAAGAAGGCUUGUGGCAGGUUGAUGAUGCGGCCCCUGGAGUUGAAAGUUAUCUCAGCCCCUCAUGGCGUUGGUGUUGGGCAGGUCCGGGAUUUUUUUUCCUCUCUGCCUGCAAUCAAUAGUACAAUUUAGGAAUGGUGGCAUUGGUUUCCGCAUUUCUAAGAGAGGGAGUCAAAGAUCUCCCUUGUUCUAGGACAAACUCUCCUAUAAGCCUGGCAGCCUGCAGGAUGCCUUCACGUGAGUACAGACUCCCUUGGUCAAUCUUUUCUUGGUGUUUGCUGGAGGGGAUGCAGGGGAUGGACAUAUACCUGACUACGAUGUUGCUACCAGGAACACUUCCUUCAUGGAUCACGUCCAGUGUCAGUGGGACCAUCCGCUUCAGUGCUAGAUGAUAAAACCUUCAAUAUUAGGGACUACAUCUUGUCACUUUUGAUUCCCUAAAGCUUAGUCAUGUUUAAAGUAGAGGCUGAACACAGGUCUGAACUAAAUGCUACCAGCUAGCAUUACAAGUCCCUUAACCUCUCCUUCAUGAGAACGCAGCUCUAGCCCUGGACCCAUCCCUACCUUGGCCUCCCCUCUAAAUCAAAAGCUUCAUAUUCCCUAGCUCUCCUCACAAAAGAUAAACGAAGGCUCAAUUAAGCGUUACCAUGGUUACGUGGAGUAGCCACACUGAGGAUCCCUACACCCAUUACUGUCAUGAAGUAAGAGAAGAGGGGUUAAGGAAUCGUUGUCAUGGAGGAAACCAUGGAAACAAGCGUUGCUAAGGGGACAGCUGUAAAUUCAGAGGAAAGAAAUUAGAAGUGGGGAGUGGACUUUGUGGGCUCGAGAGCAGGUCACUUUUUCAAGGUACGUUUCUCUGGGACUAUAGCAGCCUUUAUUUUUUCUAUUUGUAUCUUCCCAGGCAGAGCCCAGAAUUAAAGAAUUUUAGAAAUUUUAGAAAACCACGGUCAUCAUCAGCUCAAGUCCAUCACUGUUGGAUUGGUCCCCAAACAGAGCAGGGUUCAGAAAGGAGGUGUUAUGUGAGUGUGAACGGGUCAAUCCACUUUCACUGCCUCUUCAGCCCAGCUCUGCGUGUAAUCUAAGCCAGGAGGUGUGUGGGGCACUGGGGAGGAAAUAAUGAGCACAGCGUAGAGCAGGAUAGUGACUUGGUUGGUGGCUUUAGAGCCGCUGCUGCUCACGUGGACAGGCCCGCAGCAUGGUGUCCAGAGAGCUGCUGCAAAUUCUCUCCAAACUCUGCCUGUGACGUCUGUAGCUUGUCAUUCCCAUCUGACAUUCAUCUGCAAGGUACCCUAGAAAGGCCUGCUUGCUCUAGGACAACUGGGGUCCUAACCUGUCCUGUGAAACCCUCACGCCUGACUUAGUGAGCUGUGUUCUCUGGUCUUUCUCCCUGAAGCAACAGCUAGGGCUGGCAGUGCCCUAGCCCACUCUCACCAGUGACAGACACAAGGGGCUAUGUUUUGUUUUAAAAGAAAUCAAGGAUAAUGAACUCCUCCGUGUUGCUUGAUAGGCCAAAGGGAGGGGGGACCUCAGGUCAUUGCAGCUUGGAGCUCAUAGCCAGCCCCCACCCUAUGAGGUGCAGAUCAGAGAGUCUCAGCCUCCAGGGGAGGGAGGAACCCCCUCACCCUUGCAUCCUGCACAGGGCAACUUGAGCUUCCUCAGGCCCACACAGGACCGUCCCCUGGCUCUGGCUGACUGCUGGACAUUGCCAAACCUUCUGCACAUCGUCCCCCAUGGCCCCUGAGUCUCUCUGUCACUCUGCAUGGGGAGAAUGGAGGGUCAGCUAAAGAGGAAGAGCUCAGAAUUAAAAAGCAAAAGAAUUAAAAGUACCUAUAGGGAAGGGUAAUUAUCCUUCAGCUGCUGCUGAAAUACAAUUAGGGGCCAUGCUCUCAAGCUGCCAGGAUAUUGCGGCUUUUGCUAAUUAAGGAGCGGAUGUGCCCUGCCAGUCGCAAUUAGAGGCUGGCCCAGGCAGCGGGGCCCCCGCCUCACCUCCUCUCAGUGCUGCCUGUAAGGGAUAUUAACCAGGGAGCCCAGCCUUGUGCCUGCCUGCUGGGAGGGGACACCUAAGCGAGGGUUCCCCCCUCUUCCUGUCCUUUCUGUUCUGCUGGUCCGACCCCACCAGCGGGCUUCGUUCUGAACUGUGGUGCACUGGCUCUGAGGACUUUCACUGUGGGCCUGGGCAGGGAGGAUCACCACUACCUACAGCUUUUUUUUUUUUUUUUUUGCAGAACUGAGGAUCAAAUGUGUGACCCUUGUACUCAGCUGCAUCCCUAGCCCUCUUUUUAUUUUGAAACAAGGUCUUGCUAAGUCACUAAGUUGCCCAGGCUUAGCCUUCGAGAGUGACGACAUUACAGGUGGGCACCACCCCUACACGACCACCUCCAGCUCUUCCUGUUUCCCACCCUCCUUCAAUGUACAGUUCUUUGUGAUUCAUGAAGAAAAGGUAGAAAGAUCUACAUCUCCCUUUACUUCUAACCAUAGCAAAGCCAGUGGGCAGCCAGUUCUAUUAGAAAUCUCAUUCACACUUGAGAAGUCUGCAAAUUGGCAUCGCUCAGCAGGUGUCUGCUCCUCACGGCCGGAUGUCAGGAUGAGCAGAGCAGGGGGACAGCGGACUCAAGAGUCAGUCUCUCCUGGCAGCAUCUGGGGCUGGAGCCAGGUUCCACCCCAAAGGGUUCUAUUACAGAGAAGCCCUGGCCUUUGAAAGAGGAGCUAUUUUCACUCUAAGAGCUGAAGAGUCUUGAAAAUUCUUUUUCACAAUGCGAGUCAUCGAACCUGCACUUCUUCUACAAAAGAUUGGGUCAAGUUCCUUAUUUCAGUUUCAGGCUCUCAGACCCAGCCCAGUGACAAGCCUGGACAACUUAGUGACUUAGUGAGACCCUGCUGGGCAUUUAAUGGGUUCAACCCCAUUUUCUCUCCCCUCAAAUCAGCUCUUUGUGUAACCCUUGAGAUAUUGUAGAUUUUAUGGAUUGUUCUUCCUAUUGUGUACUCUUAGCAUCCUGCAUCACACCCUCAAAAUAACCCUUUUAAAUAAAGUCUCCCUUUACUCAAUCCGGACUAUUUUUUUACAUUCUAUGCAGCAUUCUUUACAUUUGGCUCCUGCUACAGCGUUUUAUGCAAGCUUAUUGUAUAGAACACCCUUGUGCUUUCCUGUCCCAAGAAUAUGUUGAUAAAUUUGAACUCGCUAAUUCUGAAAAUUUUUCUGUGAUCAUAAAGCUGUAAGUGUUCAUUUGUUAUGCAAUAUCAGUACCUCACUUAAAAUAAAUACACAGAAUUUUCAUUAAAAUAAAUACACAGCAUUCAUAAGAAUCUUUCAGAUUUCCGCAACAACCUCAAAUUCUUUGUCACAGGAAUGCCUCCGAAACGCUGCCACUUAUAAAAGAAAUGUACGUCUAUCUACAUGAAGAAGCAGCGGAAGCAGACAGAAGCGUUUGUAUUUUAAAUCCCCCCCUUUCGGCUCAGGGGAAAUCUUUCUACAGGAAGAUCCUUGCAGGAUCUAAAACCUGCAAGGACUCAUUUACACAGGUGGCUGUGGCCCGAAAGACUUCAUCUGCAUAAUAAGGCAAUCCUGGCUUGUGGUGCCGCAGCCAGUCCCCUUAGAGCUCCGAGUAGAGCUCAGACAUUUUACCCCUCUUGGGGUUGGAUUCCUGUCCCUUAGACAGGUGAUACAACGUGUAUGUUCUUGUUCCUCUUAUUUAUUGCAUAGAACGGAUCAAAUAAAAUUAUUGAGCCUUCAGAGGGAAAACAGCAAAUCCAAGCUUCCCUACAUGAGUAAAAGAAUUUUUAAAAUAAAGCAGAAACUGCUGUUUUCUUGUACUGGGAAUUGAACCCAGGGCCUUCGCCCUGAGCGACAUCCCCAGUCCCCCCACCCCAAAAAGGCUUUAAAAAAAGCCAAGUUC